rnacentral:lncRNA from 1 species
AAUCCCAAAGAAAUUCCACCAAAAUUCCCAAAAACCAACCUGAAAUACCCAAAUCCCACCCAAAUCCCACAAAUCCCAUCGAAAUUCCCAAAAUCCCCCAUAUCCCAAAAUCCUGGAGCUCCGCCCCGGAUCCCAAAAAUCCCCAAAUCCCGGAGCUCCGCCCACGGAUCCCAAAAAUCCCCAAAUCCCGGAGCUCCGCCCACGGAUCCCAAAAAUCCCCAAAUCCCCCAAAUCCCCAAAUCCCGGAGCUCCGCCCCCGGCUUCGUUGGGAUUCGGGCUGGGAUCCCCAAAAUCUGUCGGGAUUUGGGCCGGGAUCCGUCGGGAUCAUUCGGGAUCCCCCAGGAUCCGCCGGGAUUUGGGUCGAGAUCCAUUGGGAUCCGCCCGGAUCCGUUGGGAUCAGGCAGGAUCUGUUGGAAUUUGGGAUCGGAUCCGUUGGGAUUUGGGCCGGGAUCCAUCGGGAUCCACCGGGAUUUGGGCCAGGAUCCGUUGGGAUCGGUCGAGAUCUGUUGGAAUUCUGGCCGGCAUCCAUUGGGAUCCACCAGGAUCUGUCGUAAUUUGGGCCGGGAUCCCCAGGAUCGAUCACAAUCCGGGUCGGGAUCGGUUGGAAUUUGGGUCGGGAUCCGCUGGGAUUUGGGUAGGGGGGUCAGCCAGGAUCGUUUGGGAUCCUUGGGAUCGGCCGGGAUCGGUUUGGAUCCCCGGGAUCGGUGGAGAUCUGUUGGAAUUUGGGUUGGGAUUGGCCGGGAUUUGGGCUGGGAUCAGUUGGGAUCCGUCGGAAUUUGGGUCGGGAUCUGUCGGAUUUUGGGCGGGGAUCCCCGGGAUCGGCCAGGACCCGUCGGGAUUCGGUUCGGGAUCCGUCAGGAUUUGGGCCGGGAUCCGUCGGAAUUUGGGCCGGGAUUUGUCGGAUUUUGGGUCGGGAUCCGUCAGGAUUUGGAUCGGGAUCCGUCGGGAUUUGGGUCGGGAUCUGUUGGAAUUCAGCUCGGGAUCCGUCGGGAUCGGCCGGGAUCCGUCGGGAUUUGGGCCGGGAUCCGUCGGGAUCCGUUGGAAUUUGGGUCCGGAUUGGCCGGGAUUGGUCAGGAUCAGCCGGGAUCCGUUGGAAUUCGGCUCGGGAUCCGUCGGGAUCGGCCGGGAUCCAUCGGAAUUUGGGUCGGGAUCCGUUGGAAUUCAGUUUGGGAUCCGUCGGGACGGGCGGCGCCGGUACCUGCUGGCCUCCUCCCCUCGGUAAUAAUCGGCCGCCUGCUCGUAGUGCGCCACGGCCUGGGGGGAGCCGGAAAUCCGGGAUCAGAGCCCCAAAUCCCGGGAAAAUCCCGGGGAAAUCCCGGGAAAAUCCCAGAAAAAAAAUCCGGGAAAAUCCCAAAAAAUCCCCCGGAAAAUCCCCCCAAACACCGGGAGAAACCGGAUCCACCCCGGGGAAAGAUCCCGGGAAAAUCCUGGAGAAAAUCCCAGAAAAAAAUCUGGGAAAAUCCCAGAAAAAAAUCUGGGAAAAUGCCAAAAAUUCCCCCCCAAAUCCCUCCAAACACCUGGGAGAAACCGGAUCCAUCCCAGGGAAAGCCUGGAAAAAUCCCAGGAAAAUCCUGGGGAAAAUCCUGGAAAAAUCCCAGAAAAAUCCAGAGAAAAAUCCCAGAAAAAUCCCAGGAAAAUCCUGGGAAAAUUCCAGGAAAAUCCCAGAAAAAAAAUCCGGAAAAAUCCAAAAAAAUCCCCCGGAAAAUCCCCCAAAACACCCGGGAGAAACCGGAUCCAUCCUGGGGAAAGCCUGGAAAAAUCCCAGGAAAAUCCCAAUAA